rnacentral:lncRNA from 1 species
UAUUUACCCUCCAAAAUAAAUAAAAAGGUCAAGGCAACACUUUAAUUCACAAAAUAAAUACAUGAAAUGAGAAUAAACACGAAAUUGAAUCAAUUAAAGUAUUUAUAUAAAAAUAAACAACCCAUAUUCAAGCAAUUCAAAAUAAGCAAGAUCCCAAUUGAAAGAAUUAAAGAAGUUUUAGGGGAUAAAUCAUAGUAUUACAAAUGUUAGGGGGUCUAAAUUAAAAUAAAAUAAAAUAAAGGGCUUAAAAUGAAGUAUACCAAAACCAAAUGCUAAACUUCACAAAAUGAAUGAAAACCCUUUCAUCAAACCCCAAACAAAAAAUGUUACUCAAAUAUAAACCAUUUGUAUAAAAAUCCAAAUCAAAAACUAUAAAUCUAUCAAAAUAUUAUUAAACCAACAAAUUUCAUCCUAAAAUUCACCAAUAAUCUGUCCAAAAAUCACAUUAAGACAUAUCAAAGAAAAAUAGCAUUUUAAAGGGACAAAAUUGAUUAAAGUUUUCGAUUUUCCAGGCCUUAAUAGCAUAAGGGGAAACUUGAGGGGUAAAAAUGCAAUUUUUCUGAAAUUUUUGCAUUCAAGUGUCGAAGUCAUCUUCUUCUUCUGUAACCGAGAGUUUCUGCAACUUCUCUUAUGCUUUGAAACUUCAGCAAAUUUUAACAACUAUCUCAAACAAGAAUCCAACCUCAAGUUCUUAUUAAGCUCGUCAUCCCAAUACCUUAUUAUACAUACAAGAGAACGGAAAAACUAGCAUGGGGAAAGUUUGCAAAUUCCAAGCUCAUUCAAAAGAUUUCCACCAGUUCUGGGUCUUCCUAUGGAAGUUCACUUAACCAAUUACCAUUCACACAUGUUUUGCAUCAUGAAAAGGAAGGCAACAGUUGAAAUCUUACUUCAUGAAAUAAAUCAAACCAGAAUCUCCAAAAUAAAAAUCUGAGCAACAUCAACAAAGCUCCACAGAGAGAUAAGAAAACAACUUCUUGAGCAAAUGAAAAAACAGGGAGAGAGAAAAAUGAGACAACAAAAGGUAACAAGCAUGCAUAACUACGGGAACCUAAAUAUUAUCAAAUUUCUCAUGCAAGCAUCGCAGACAGCUUUCUUCUUCUUCUUCUGCGAUUCUAGAUUCUUCAUUACCCAAAAAUGCACAAGACAAAAUCCAAAUAAAUGAGAUCUUAUGAAUUUUAUUUCACAACCCCAAAGCUAAACUCAAACAGAAAAAGUGUAAUAAUCAAGAAAAACUAUCUAAACAAAUGGCAAACUCAUCAACCCCAACAGCAAAAAGGUUCCAAAUUCACGUUCAAGAGGUCUUGUUCUUCAUAAAAAUGUGUUAAACCAAACAAGAAAGAGUGCUAUGGUUACCUGAGGAUGCUGUUGAGUUCAAGUAGGAACCCAGAAACUGUAAGGAACGAGUGUAGAUCCUUAGAAACGAAGUCAAGAAACCCCUCUGCAGUAAAGUGCAGCGUUGAUGAACCAGAAAUUUGAAACCUUGAUUCAAUCGACUUGGAGACGCUUUUCCCGAAUAUUUUCUGAACGAAAGCCGUCCGAUUACGACCCAAGAGAGUGCAGAAACCAGUGGUACCAGUUUUUCUAAAAUUUUUCUGCUGUUUUUCUUCGUUUUUUUCUCCUCUUUCCUCUGCUUUUUCUUUUUUCCUCCUGCCACAACUCUCUCCCGUUUCCCCCCUAUUUCUUUCUUGCUCAGCCGCCCUUCCCUCUAUCUCCCAGAUCCUCCCUCUCGGUUCCUCUUUUUUCCUCCAAAAACCUCCGUAGCCCCUCUUUCUUUUUCUUGGUUCUUUUUGUUGUUUUUCCCUCAGUCUUUUUCCUUUUCUCUGCCCAGAAACCCUCCUUAUUUAGCUGUUACUCACUCAAUCUCUCGCUCUCCUUUUUCUCAGCUUUUUGCAGUUUCUCUCAGCCCCCUACCAGAAUCUUCUCCCCUUGCCCCUAGUUUCC